rnacentral:rRNA from 1 species
AUGAGCGAUCAGGAUUGGCCGGAGGAAAAACCAUCGAUCCGUGGACUCGGGCCAAGGACCAAUCAAGCCGUGCUUUUGUUGAAAGGUUUCGCGCUCAGGCCGAAGAGCGCGGGACUCCAUCGCGGCAAAAACUCUAGUACCCGCGCUUUCGUCCAAAUGUUUCGCGCUCAGGCUUCACCACGUCUGAAAAACUGUGGCGCCCACGCGCUUUCGUCCAAAGAGAUUCUAACCAACCAGCAGCAGCACCCAACCCAAACCAGCCCUCGCACACUCUGUCUUCUUCCUCCUCUCUCCCCCCCACCCAACGACCCGCCGGCAACCUCCUCUCGCCCAGCCACCGCCGGCGCCCCCCGCCCUCUCCUCCCCUCCGUAGUCUCCGCAUCCAACCUCCACAGCUUUCCCUCCCCGCGCCCGAAAGCCCACGUCCACGGCAACCAAUCUCUGGAUCCGCAUCGCAGGAUGCCGCUGGAUCCGGGAGCAGGGCGUCUCACCCUGAAGCCGCCGUUCGGGUCGAGCUCCGCGGCGGCGAAUGCCGGUGCUCCUCUGCUUCCUCGACAACCAAGGACGCAGGCCCUGGAUCCGUGCUCGCCUUCUUCCUCCACCAGCCUCGGUGCCCAACUCCCUUCACCCGCCGUCGCUGUCGCCAUCGUGGACUCCCAAGCAGUCGAGGAGCAUGAGGACCCGAGCUCGAGCGCGACCACGAUGCAACGCACAAGUCACUCACCUGAUGCAUUGUUCUACUUCAUCUUCUUGAUGCCCAGGGUGUUUCAGUACCACCGCUUGUAUGACCAACGAGCUAAUCUCAACCCUGUGUGCAAGCUACUGGACCUGAUAUCGGUUGAUUCCAAGAACAAGCUAUGGUGGUGGCUGCCGAUUUGCCGCGUCAACAAGGUCUCGUUCCUCCCUGGUUUGCACAAGCUACGUCAGGCAACUGCAGACCCCGUACGACCAUGGCCCACACCCCUGAAGCUUCCCCUGUCCGCAACAACUUCUGGAUCAAAGGAUUGUUGCUUAAUCCCGGGCUGCUCUACCUUGAAGGAAAAGGGGUCCUCCUUGAGAUCAUAUAGAUGGCGCAAGGAAAAUGGUAAUAUGGUCAUUGUGGUGGAAGUUUUUGAUUAUUUGAUAGUUGAUAACUCUUCUAUUGCGAGCAGCAGAGGAGGAUGGAUCGAGGACCGUCCGUUGCGGAUUCGCCGCCUCACCUAUGUCGGUCUCGUGCGUGGCUGGGGUUCUUCGCCGAGCACCAACAUCGUCCAUGGAGCCGGCGAGCUCACACACCUGCACCUUCAAAAGCACCACGUUAGCUACUUGAACAUCAAGUGCUACGACGAGGGCUGCUCUACCUUGAAGGAAAAGGGGUCCUCCUUGAGAUCAUAUAGAUGGCGCAAGGACAAUGGUCAUAUGGUCGUUGUGGUGGCUGAGGAUGCUGGCCAAGAUCUCAUCGCGCAAAGCAUGAAGUUUGUGGACCUCACCAUCCCUUCCUCUGUUUGGGUGAGUCCUUGGUCUUCUCUCUCUGUCUCUCUCUCUGAGAUGGUCCGGCCAUCGAGCUGUGGGUGA